ensembl:miRNA
GUGCAGACUUAUUGUCUCUGUUCUAACACAAGACUAGGCUUCCCUGUGUUAGAAUAGGGCAAUAACUCUGCAC